rnacentral:rRNA from 1 species
GACGAACGCUGGCGGCGUGCUUAACACAUGCAAGUCGAACGGAAAGGCCCUGCUUUUGUGGGGUGCUCGAGUGGCGAACGGGUGAGUAACACGUGAGUAACCUGCCCUUGACUUUGGGAUAACUUCAGGAAACUGGGGCUAAUACCGGAUAGGAGCUCCUGCUGCAUGGUGGGGGUUGGAAAGUUUCGGCGGUUGGGGAUGGACUCGCGGCUUAUCAGCUUGUUGGUGGGGUAGUGGCUUACCAAGGCUUUGACGGGUAGCCGGCCUGAGAGGGUGACCGGCCACAUUGGGACUGAGAUACGGCCCAGACUCCUACGGGAGGCAGCGGUGGGGAAUAUUGCACAAUGGGCGGAAGCCUGAUGCAGCAACGCCGCGUGCGGGAUGACGGCCUUCGGGUUGUAAACCGCUUUCGCCUGUGACGAAGCGUGAGUGACGGUAAUGGGAAAAGAAGCACCGGCUAACUACGUG